UCACCACUCUGGCCUUCUUGGCUUAGAUCAAGUGUAGUAUCUGUUCCUAAUAGUUUAACCGCUAUUAUUGAGGCACGCCUCUAUCGGUUAUCCUAUUUUUGCCGCCUCAGUUCCUUGGGCUCUGCUUGCACCCCUUGGAUGUGAUGACCUUGCUACUGCAGGAUCGGCUAGCGUCGUCGGAGGAUC
rfam:Laccaria bicolor S238N-H82 LACBIscaffold_25 genomic scaffold, whole genome shotgun sequence.